CAACUUGAGAGUUUGAUCCUGGCUCAGAACGAACGCUGGCGGCAGGCCUAACACAUGCAAGUCGAACGCCGUAGCAAUACGGAGUGGCAGACGGGUGAGUAACGCGUGGGAACA
rnacentral:rRNA from 1 species